rnacentral:rRNA from 1 species
UACGUAGGGUGCGGGCGUGUCCGGAAUUAUUGGGCGUAAAGAGCUUGUAGGCGGUUUGUCGCGUCUGACCGGUGAAAAUCCGGGGCUCAACCCCGGACUUGCGGUGGGUACGGGCAGGACUAGAGUGUGGUAGGGGGAGACUGGAAUUCCUGGUGUAGCGGUGAAAUGCGCAGAUAUCAGGAGGAACACCGAUGGCGAAGGCAGGUCUCUGGGCCACUACUGACGCUGGAGAAGCGAAAGCGUGGGGAGCGAACAGG